rnacentral:rRNA from 1 species
AUUGAACGCUGGCGGCAGGCUUAACACAUGCAAGUCGAGCGGGGGAGGUUGCUUCGGUAACUGACCUAGCGGCGGACGGGCGAGUAAUACUUAGGAAUCUGCGUAUUAAUGGGGGACAACAUCGCGAAAGGGAUGCUAAUACCGCAUACGCCCUUCGGGGGAAAGCAGGGGAUCACUUGUGACCUUGCGUUAAUCGAUGAGCCUAAGUCGGGUUAGCUAGUUGGUGGGGUAAAGGCCUACCAAGGCGACGAUCUGUAGCGGGUUUGAGACGAUGAUCCGCCACACUGGGACUGAGACACGGACCAGACUCCUACGGGAGGCAGCAGUGGGGAAUAUUGGACAAUGGGGGGAACCCUGAUCCAGCCAUGCCGCGUGUGUGAAGAAGGCCUUAUGGUUGUAAAGCACUUUAAGCGAGGAGGAGGCUCUUUUGGUUAAUACCCAAGAUGAGUGGACGUUACUCGCAGAAUAAGCACCGGCUAACUCUGUGCCAGCCGCCGCAGUAAAAC